AUUUCAAAAUGGAGGGUGCACUCUAACCUUUAGAUGGACAGCUCAUUCGACCCAAUUGGAGAAGGCAGGGGUUGUCCACAUUCGGCAAAAGCCAACGAGAGCCCUCGUUUACAGACAGUGCGCGCCCUUCUUCUGACGUGGCGAGGCUCAGCCAACUGCAGUCGAUUUUUGUUAUGACUGACUUAUCGUUUAGCCAAUUACAUUUUCCAGGAAGUACAUGUCCUCCGCGACCUGAUAGAAAACUAUCAACACACAGCAAGUCACUGCACAACAGUGAACACGUGCUUCCAGAGCAUCUCAUCUCCGUGCGUAACAGUAAGUGAGCACUGGUUUUGAGAUCGGUGCGUAAAAGUUCGGGGGCGUUGCUGUGAGAUCCGUGUGCAGAAUUCAGUCUUGCUAUGGAGCGUUUUGAAGCUACACUAUGGAGAAACGUUUAGAGAAAUGAAACUUGACGACCGAACAAGUAAAGGGAUCUGUGUUAUCGGCGUGACAGCGACCAGUCUGAUGAUGACGUAUCAGAGGAAGACAGCGACACGUCGUUUGACUACGAGGCAGACGCCAUGUUUCAGGAAGGACGAGACAUUACUCUUGACAAGUCCAUCGAGGUUCAUGGGUGCUGACAUCCUGAUAGGGCACUACAAAGUCCUCCACAAGCCUCCUCCUGCAGUCGUGACUGCUACAAUGGCUGGCAUGUAUCCAAAAAUUUGAAAGAUGUAUAUUUGAAUAAAUUUUUAACCAUA